rnacentral:misc_RNA from 1 species
GAUGAAGAACGUAGCAAAAUGCGAUACUUGGUGUGAAUUGCAGAAUCCCGUGAACCAUCGAGUUUUUGAACGCAAGUUGCGCCCGAAGCCUUUUGGCCGAGGGCACGUCUGCCUGGGCGUCACGCAUCGCGUCGCCCCCCACAAUUCUCCGUAAAGGGAACAUGUGUUUUGGGGGCGGAUAUUGGUCUCCCGUGCUCAUGGCGUGGUUGGCCGAAAUAGGAGUCCUUUCGAUGGACGCACGAACUAGUGUUGGUCGUAAAAACCCUCGUCUUUUGUUUCGUGCUGUUGCUCGCAAGGUAAACUCUUUAAAAACCCCAAUGUGUCGUCUCUUGACGACGCUUCGACCGCGACCCCAGGUCAGGCGGGACUACCCGCUGAGUUUAAGCAUAUCAAUAAGCGGAGGA